CCCCAUAGCCAGAUCGAUUGUGUAUUGU
rnacentral:sRNA from 1 species